CGUAACAAGGUUUCCGUAGGUGAACCUGCGGAAGGA
rnacentral:rRNA from 1 species